rnacentral:rRNA from 1 species
UACAGGGGGGGCAAGCGUUGUUCGGAAUUACUGGGCGUAAAGGGUUCGUAGGUGGCCAACUUAGUCAGACGUGAAAUCCCUCAGCUUAACUGGGGAACUGCGUCUGAUACUGGAUGGCUUGAGUGCAGGAGAGGAACGCGGAAUUCCUGGUGUAGCGGUGAAAUGACGCAGAUAUCAGGAGGAACACCGAUGGCGAAGGCAGCUCGCUGGGACGUGACUGACGCUGAGACGCGAAAGCGUGGGGAGCGAACAGG